AUCGGAUCUUCCUUUGUGGGAGUGCUAGCUCGCGUCGAAGGCUCUGGAUGGCUGAUCUAAGCUCCUUUCUUUAGAUCUUCCAGACUCUUUCGAAUCAGAAGAUAAAAUUUUAUGAGGAGAUGGUGGUGUGGAAGAUUGGACAAGACUCACUCUUGUAUUUUCUUCUCAUAAAAUCUAAAGUUGAAAUCCUAAAACCCACAGCUCACGCCC
rnacentral:lncRNA from 1 species